rnacentral:rRNA from 1 species
CCCUUAGAUGUUCUGGGCCGCACGCGCGCUACACUGACGAAUGCAACGAGCUUAUAACCUUGGCCGAAAGGUCUGGGUAAUCUCCAAAUUUCGUCGUGAUGGGGAUAGAUUAUUGCAAUUAUUAAACUUCAACGAGGAAUGCCUAGUAAGCGCAAGUCAUCAGCUUGCGUUGAUUACGUCCCUGCCCUUUGUACACACCGCCCGUCGCUCCUACCGAUUGAAUGGUCCGGUGAAGCGUUCGGACCGUGGCCUUUGGACGGUUCGCCGUCUGUUGGCUGCGGGAAGUUCGUUAAACCUUAUCAUUUAGAGGAAGGAGAAGUCGUAACA